GACGAACGCUGGCGGCGUGCUUAACACAUGCAAGUCGAACGCUGAAGCUCAGCUUGCUGGGUGGAUGAGUGGCGAACGGGUGAGUAACACGUGAGUAACCUGCCCUCUUCUUUGGGAUAACGCCCGGAAACGGGUGCUAAUACUGGAUAUUCACUGAUUCUCGCAUGGGGGUUGGUGGAAAGGUUUUUUCUGGUGGGGGAUGGGCUCGCGGCCUAUCAGCUUGUUGGUGGGGUGAUGGCCUACCAAGGCUUUGACGGGUAGCAGGCCUGGGAGGGUGACCGGUCACAUUGGGACUGAGAUACGGCCCAGACUGCUGCGGGAGGCAGCAGUGGGGAAUAUUGCACAAUGGGCGAAAGCCUGAUGCAGCGACGCCGCGUGAGGGAUGGAGGCCUUCGGGUUGUAGACCUCUUUCGCUCAUGGUCAAGCCGCAGCGUUGGGUUGUGGUGAGGGUAGUGGGUAAAGAAGCGCCGGCUAACUACGUG
rnacentral:rRNA from 1 species